GUGCUCACUUUGGCAACACAUAUACUAAAACUGGAAUAUUAUAGGGAAGAUUAGUAUGGCCCCUGUACAAACGAUGACACACGAAUUCAUGAAGUGUUCCAUAUUUUU